rnacentral:rRNA from 1 species
UACAGAGGCCUCGAGCGUUAGGCGGAAUCACUGGGCUUAAAGCGCGUGUAGGCGGAUCGUUAAGUGUCUUGUGAAAUCCCACGGCUCAACCGUGGAACUGCUGGGCAUACUGGCGAUCUUGGGCCACUCAGGGGCGACCGGAACAAGCGGUGGAGCGGUGAAAUGCGUAGAUAUCGCUUGGAACGCCAAAGGUGAAGACAGGUCGCUGGGGGUGUGCCGACG